UCAUUUGUAGAUGGCAAAACUGAGGUCC
rnacentral:piRNA from 1 species